rnacentral:rRNA from 1 species
CAAUAGCGUAUAUUAAAGUUGUUGCGGUUAAAAAGCUCGUAGUUGGGUUUCUGCCGAGGACGACUGGUCCGCCCUCUGGGUGAGUAUCUAGUUCGGCCUGGGCAUCUUCUUGGAGAACGUAGCUGCACUUGACUGUGUGGUGCGGUAUCCAGGAAUUUUACCUUGAAGAAAUUAGAGUGUUCAAAGCAGGCAAUGUGCAAUUGAAUAUAUUAGUAUGGAAUAAUACUAUAGGAUUUUCUUCCUAUUUUGUUGGUUUUUUGGAAGAAGAUUGAUUGAUUGAUAGGGAUAGUUGGGGGUGUUUGUAUUGCGUCGUUAGAGGUGAAAUUCUUGGAUCGAUGCAAGACAAACUAGUGCGAAAGCAUUCACCAAGGAUGUUUUCAUUAA